GCCUGACUGGCUUAGUUGGUAGAGCAUGCAACUCUUGAUUUCAGGGUAGCGAGUUUGAGCCCCACGUUGGGUG
rnacentral:tRNA from 1 species